rnacentral:ncRNA from 1 species
AAAGUUUUAUUUUAGCUAAUUAUUUAUUAAAUUUUUAUUUUACAUGUAAAUUUUUGUUAGAAAUUAUAUAAUUCUUAAAGAAUUAUUAAAUUUUAUUCGCAGUAUUAAAUUUUAAUAAUAAAAGAAAUUUUGAAUUGGUAAUAAAUUUUAGUAUAGGAUAAAUUUGUGCCAGCAUCUGCGGUUAUACAAAUUAUAUAAAUAAAUAUAAUUAGUUUUAGUUAAUUUGAUUUCAUUUAUGUAAAAAUAUUAAUUUUUAGGUUAAAUUAUAAAUUAAUAUUAAAAAUAUAAAAGAAUAUAUGAAGCUAAUAAAAUUUUAUAAUAAACUAGGAUUAGAUACCCUAUUAUUAAAAUUAAAUUAAAUAAUAAACUUAGGUAGUAAUAGAUAUAUUCUUGAAACUUAAAAAAUUUGGCGGUGUUUUAGUCUAUUUAGAGGAACCUGUUCUGUAAUUGAUAAUCCACGAUAAAUUAUACUAAUUUUUGUAUAAUUUGUAUACCGUCGUUAUCAGAAUAUUUUAAAAGAAAAUAAUAUUCAAAUAAUUUAAAUUAAAUUUUAUUUCAGAUCAAGGUGCAGUUUAUAUAUUAGAAGAAAUGGGUUACAAUAAAAAAAUUUAUAAUGAAUUAUUGAUUGAAAAAUUAAUAUAAAAGUGGAUUUAAUAGUAAUUUUAAAAGAAAUUUUUAAUUUGAUUAUAGCUCUAAAACAUGUACAUAUCGCCCGUCACUCUUUCUUUUAAAGAAAGAUAAGUCGUAACAUAGUAGAUGUACUGGAAAGUGUAUCUAGAAUGAU